rnacentral:rRNA from 1 species
GAUGAACGCUGGCGGCGUGCCUAAUACAUGCAAGUCGAGCGAACGGACGAGAAGCUUGCUUCUCUGAUGUUAGCGGCGGACGGGUGAGUAACACGUGGAUAACCUACCUAUAAGACUGGGAUAACUUCGGGAAACCGGAGCUAAUACCGGAUAAUAUUUUGAACCGCAUGGUUCAAAAGUGAAAGACGGUCUUGCUGUCACUUAUAGAUGGAUCCGCGCUGCAUUAGCUAGUUGGUAAGGUAACGGCUUACCAAGGCAACGAUGCAUAGCCGACCUGAGAGGGUGAUCGGACACACUGGAACUGAACCACGGUACAGACUCCUACGGGAGGCAGCAGUAGGGAAUCUUACGCAAUGGGCGAAAGCCUGACGGAGCAACGCCGCGUGAGUGAUGAAGGUCUUCGGAUCGUAAAACUCUGUUAUUAGGGAAGAACAUAUGUGUAAGUAACUGUGCACAUCUUGACGGUACCUAAUCAGAAAGCAACGGCUAACUACGUG